CCUACGGGAGACAGCAGUGAGGAAUAUUGGUCAAUGGGCGCGAGCCUGAACCAGCCAAGUCGCGUGAAGGAUGACGGCCCUACGGGUUUUAAACUUCUUUUGUCAGGGAGCAAUUUGGUCCACGCGUGGGCUUAGCGAGAGUACCUGAAGAAAAAGCAUCGGCUAACUCCGUGCCAGCAGCCGCGGUAAUACGGAGGAUGCGAGGGUUAUCCAGAUUUAUUGGGGUAAAAGGGUGCGUAGGCGGAAUAUCAAGUCAGCGGUAAAAAUUCGGGGCUAAACCCCGUCGUGCCGUUGAAACUGAUGGUCUUGAGUGGGCGAGAAGUAUGCGGAAUGCGUGGUGUAGCGGUGAAAUGCGUAGAUAUCACGCAGAACUCCGAUUGCGAAGGCAGCAUACCGGCGACCAACUGACGCUGAAGCACGAAAGCGUGGGUAUCGAACAGGAUUAGAUACCCUAGUAGUC
rnacentral:rRNA from 1 species